AGAGUUUGAUCCUGGCUCAGAAUGAACGUUGGCGGCGUGGAUUAGGCAUGCAAGUCGCGCGAGAAGCUAAUUAGCCUGCUAAGAGGCGGACAGCGGCGGAAGGGAGAGUAACGCGUGGUUACGUACCCUCGAGACCAGGAUAGUGUCGGGAAACUGGCAGUAAUACUGGAUAACAUCUUCGGAUCAAAUGGUGUGAUUCCGCUCGAGGAUUGGACCGCGUACUAUUAGCUUGUUGGCGGGGUAAUGGCCCACCAAGGCUGCGAUGGUUACCGGGUGUGAGAGCAUGGCCCGGCUCACUGGGACUGAGACACUGCCCAGACAUCUACGGAUGGCUGCAGUCGAGAAUCUUCGGCAAUGGACGAAAGUCUGACCGAGCGACGCCGCGUGCGGGAUGAAGGCCCUCGGGUUGUAAACCGCUGUCAGUUAGGAGGAAAUCCAUGAGGGUUCUCUCUCAUGGUUGACCGAUUUUCAGAGGAAGGACGGGCUAAGUUCGUGCCAGCAGCCGCGGUAAGACGAACCGUCCAAACGUUAUUCGGUAUCACUGGGCUUAAAGCGUGCGUAGGCGGCCUGGUAGGUGAGGUGUGAAAUCCCACGGCUCAACCGUGGAAUCGCGCUUCAAACCACCAGGCUCGAGGAAGAUAGGGGUGAUGGGAACUUAUGGUGGAGCGGUGAAAUGCGUUGAUAUCAUAGGGAACACCAG
rnacentral:rRNA from 1 species